rnacentral:rRNA from 1 species
GCCGGAAGGUGCAAGCGUUGCUCGGAAUCACUGGGCGUAAAGGGUGCGUAGGCGGCUUGGUAGGUCUGGUGUGAAAGCCCCGGGCUCAGCCCGGGAAGGGCACUAGAAACUGCCAAGCUAGAGUGCCGGAGGGGAGAGUGGAAUUCCUGGUGUAGCGGUGAAAUGCGUAGAGAUCAGGAGGAAUACCGGUGGCGAAAGCGACUCUCUGGACGGCAACUGACGCUGAGGCACGAAAGCGUGGGGAGCAAACAGG